AGUGAACGCUGGCGGCAGGCCUAACACAUGCAAGUCGAACGGCAGCACAGUAAGAGCUUGCUCUUACGGGUGGCGAGUGACGGACGGGUGAGGAAUACAUCGGAAUCUACUUUUUCGUGGGGGAUAACGUAGGGAAAUAUAUGCUAAUACCUCACACUACCUACGGGUGAAAGCAUGGGAUCUUCGGACCUUGCGCGAUCUAAUGAGCGGAUGUCGGUUUAGUUAGUUGGUGGGGUAAAGGCCCACCAAGGGGACAAUCCGUAGCUGGUCUGAGAGGAUGAUCGCCAACACUGGAACGGGGACACGGUCCAGACUCCUACGGGAGGCAGCGGUGGGGAAUAUUGGACAAUGGGGGCAAGCCUGAUCCAGCAAUACCGGGUAGGUGAGGAAGGCCUUCGGGUUGUAAAGCCCGUUUGUUGGGAAAGAAAAGCAGCAGGUUAAUACCCCGCUGUUCUGACGGUACCCAAAGAAUAAGCACCGGCUAACUUCGUG
rnacentral:rRNA from 1 species